rnacentral:rRNA from 1 species
UACGUAGGGUGCGAGCGUUAAUCGGAAUUACUGGGCGUAAAGCGUGCGCAGGCGGUUCGUCAAGUCUGAUGUGAAAGCCCCGGGCUCAACCUGGGAAUGGCAUUGGAAACUAGCGAGCUUGAGUGUGGCAGAGGGGGGUGGAAUUCCACGUGUAGCAGUGAAAUGUGUAGAGAUGUGGAGGAACACCGAUGGCGUAGGCAGCCCCCUGGGCUAACACUGACGCUCAUGCGCGAAAGCGUGGGGAGCAUACAGG